rnacentral:rRNA from 1 species
GACGAACGCUGGCGGCGCGCUUAACACAUGCAAGUCGAACGGAAAGGCCUGCUUUCCCUUGUGGAUUGCGGGUACUCGAGUGGCGAACGGGUGAGUAACACGUGAGUGAUCUGCCCCCAACUUGGGUAUAAGCCUGGGAAACUGGGUCUAAUUCCCGAUAGGACUGCAGGGUGGUGCCUGUGGUGGAAAACGAUUUUCUAGUGGUUGGGGAUGAGCUCUCGGCCUAUCAGCUUGUUGGUGGGGUAAUGGCCUACCAAGGCGGCGACGGGUAGCCGGCCUGAGAGCGGGGACGGUGACAUUGGGACUGAGACACGGCCCCGACUCCAGCGAGCAGCAGCAGUGGGGAAGAAUGCACAAUGGGCGGAAGCCUGAUACAGCGACGCCGCGAGGGGGAUGACGGCCUUCGAGUUGUAAGCUCCUUGCGACCGCGAGGAAGCCACCUGGUUGGAAGGGUGGUGACGGUAGUGGUAGAAGAAGCACCGGCUAACUACGUG